rnacentral:rRNA from 1 species
AUACCAGCUCUCCGAGUGGUGUGGACGUUUAUUGGGCCUAAAGCAUCCGUAGCUGGCUGAACAAGUCCCCUGUUAAACCCACCGAUUUAAUCGUUGGUGUGCGGGGGAUACUGCUCGGCUAGGGGACGAGAGAGGCAGACGGUAUUCCCGGGGUAGGGGUGAAAUCCUAUAAUCCCGAGAAGACCACCAGUGGCGAAGGCUGUCUGCUAGAACGCGCCCGACGGUGAGGGAUGAAAGCUGGGGGAGCGAACCGGAUUAGAUACCCGGGUAGUCCCAGCUGUAAACGAUGCAGACUAGGUGUUUGGACGGCCACGUGCCGUUCUAGUGCCGCAGGGAAGCUGUUAAGUCUGCCGCCUGGGGAGUACGAUCGCAAGAUUGAAACUUAAAGGAAUUGACGGGG